CAUUUCUACAUUUCCCUCGCAGGUGCCUCCAGUCACUCUGGAAAGUGAACACCUGAACAGCGCCUCUGAGGAGAGAGGGUUGCCAGGCUCUUCACCAGUACGCAGGAAGAGAAAACCAUCCUGUGAAGAGCAGAGCGAUGGGCAACCCGAGAGCAAGCGCAGGAAGCUGGCAACAGACCUCUGAGCGACGGGCAACUCAGGAAAUCCAAGCAGGCGGAAAGAACGAGUUGCCCAGGUGGUGAUUUACUUUUGCUGCUUGGAUUUCCUGGAUGAGCUCUGACACCUGGGCUUCCAGGAGCACGAUGCAGCCCCAGCACCACCUCGGCGCAGGCGAGGACAGAGACACCGUGCCCUCCUGCUCUGGCCGGCACAUUCCACCCGUGCACCGCUAACCAGAGCAGCCCCGCAAGGCCCCCAGACCCAUCCCAGCCCUCGCAGGAGGCCCUGCUGGCUCAUCCAUCAGCUCCGUGAGCAGGUGCCCACCAGCUGGAACAUCUCUCUGAGCUGGGGAGCUGGCAUGUGAACUUAAGGGAAUGUGGAGCACGUUGCA